AUUAUUUUAUUAUUACGUAUAUAGAGAUCCCCUGCGUGACGUAGGCCUCAUAUGCGAAUAUAUAUGCAUGAUAUGUUUUGACUAUUUAUUCAGUUCUUAUGAAAUGCUUAUAUGUUUAAUGCCCUUUAUGAAAAUGAAAAUGUUAUGAAAAUGAAAUGUUUAUGAAAUGAUUGACUGCCAAAAUGUUUAUGUUUUUAUAUGUAUCCUAUCUGUGUUGGUUCGCCAACUUUAAAGGAAAUCCAAUUGGGAUCCUAUGCUAGACAAAGGUCGCUAGCUAGGGUUAACGUGUACACUCAUGGAGACCGCGAGUCGCUUGCGACCGGUCUUGGCGUCCGUGGUAAGGAGGCCUCCUUCCCGGCGCGUGACAGAAAGGAACAGAUAUGGAUCAUAUGAAGGAAAAUGGGUCGGCCGGCCAAUCUUAUGAAAAUGAAAGAAAUGUUUUAGUAAGCGCAGGUUGAGCAGCUGAUGGAAUGGAAUGGUGUUGAGCGGGUGUUCCUUUGACAUUUCAAGAAAUGUAACCUUGAGUAUACAUCUUCAUAUGUAUAUCUCACACGUUUUCCGCUGCAAAACACUUUGAUUAGGAUAACUCUAUGUUAUAAAGUUGUGACACGUGUUAUUGGGUAACCCACCUUAAUUAGUUCUCCUUUAUGUGUAUGUUUUAUAAGUAUCCAAAUAAUCAUAUAUGAUCCUAGCAUUUUAUCUAUGAGUGACAUUUCCAUAUACUUUAAUGUUAA